rnacentral:tRNA from 3 species
CGGGGUGUAGCUCAGUUUGGUAGAGCACUGCCUUCGGGAGGCAGGGGCCGCAGGUUCAAAUCCUGCCACCCCGACCA